AAUUCUAUUUCAUUGUCAAAGUCAGCUUUAUUGUCAGUUUUGCCAUAUGUUCAUCACAAACAGAAAACUGAAAUUACAAAACUAAGGCUCCACGGUGCAAAAUGAAUAGUCGAAGAAAAUACCAAAAAUAGAAAAAA